rnacentral:rRNA from 1 species
UCGAGGAUCUUCCGCAAUGGGCGCAAGCCUGACGGAGCGACGCCGCGUGUGGGAUGAAGGCCUUCGGGUUGUAAACCACUGUCACUCGUUAAGAAAGGGUCCGGCGUCAACAGCGUCGGGCACUGACGAAGGCGAGAGAGGAAGCCACGGCUAACUUCGUGCCAGCAGCCGCGGUAAGACGAAGGUGGCGAGCGUUGUUCGGAAUCACUGGGCAUAAAGCGCACGUAGGCGGUGCCGUAAGUCGGGUGUGAAAUCCCUCGGCCUAACCGAGGAACUGCGCCCGAUACUGCGGUGCUUGAAGACCAGAGGGGUGCAUGGAAUUUCCGGUGGAGCGGUGAAAUGCGUUGAUGUCGGAAGGAACUCCGGCGGCGGAAGCGAUGCACUGGCUGGUUUCUGACGCUGAGGUGCGAAAGCCAGGGGAGCAAACGGG